GCGUUGGUAGUUUAAUGGCUAGAAUCCGAGCUUCCCAUAACCUGGCUGUCCACAAGACAGAAAUUGCUCGGGGACCGGGUUCGAUUCCCGGCCAACGCA